rnacentral:rRNA from 1 species
GAUGAACGCUGGCGGCGUGCCUAAUACAUGCAAGUCGAGCGAACAGACGAGGAGCUUGCUCCUCAGACGUUAGCGGCGGACGGGUGAGUAACAAGUGGAUAACCUACCUAUAAGACUGGGAUAACGUCGGGAAACCGGAGCUAAUACCGGAUAAUAUAUUGAACCGCAUGGUUCAAUAGUGAAAGACGGUUUUGCUGACACUUAUAGAUGGAUCCGCGCCGCAUUAGCUAGUUGGUAAGGUAACGGCUUACCAAUGCAACGAUGCGUAGCCGACCUGAGAGGGUGAUCGGCCACACUGGAACUGAGACACGGUCCAGACUCCUACGGGAGGCAGCAGUAGGGAAUCUUCCGCAAUGGGCGGAAGCCUGACGGAGCAACGCCGCGUGAGUGAUGAAGGUCUUCGGAUCGUAAAACUCUGUUAUUAGGGUAGAACAAAUGUGUAAGUAACUAUGCACGUCUUGACGGUACCUAAUCAGAAAGCCACGGCUAACUACGUG